rnacentral:rRNA from 1 species
GACAGAGGGUGCAAACGUUGUUCGGAUUUACUGGGCGUAAAGCGCGUGUAGGCGGCCUCGCAAGUUGGAUGUGAAAGCCCACGGCUCAACCGUGGAAGCGCAUCCAAAACUGCGUCGCUCGAGUCUCGGAGAGGAAGGUGGAAUGCUUGGUGUAGAGGUGAAAUUCGUAGAGAUCAGGAGGAACACCCGUGGCGAAGGCGGCUCCCCUGGUCCGUCCCUGACGCUGAGACGCGAAAGCCAGGGGAGCGAACGGG